UGGAUUUUCACUUUUGACCUGCAGUAUUUGACGGUCUCUGUGUGGAGGGUUUCAGAACUUUCUCUAGGCGCAGACCUGAAUACUAGCAGUACACGCUUGCAGCUAGCAAAAAAUGCAAGAUGCAGGGUCGUGUUUUCUUUUUCCAAUGCAUGGUAUCUGUUCAGGUGGAUGACUGCUAAUUUAUGUGGGAUAGGAAUGUCUUCAUAUUUGUGGUGGGUACAAGUAAUAUUAAAUUGAAAUUUGAGGCCCUCUUUUCAUUACAACCAGUGGCAAAAUUUAGGUUUUGGUGAGAAGAAAGGUGAACCUAAUGGCUACAGCACUAUCAAGAAGAAUGUUUUAAUCGCUGGAGAAAUUGAGGAAAAAAUGAAGUUGAUAGAAGAACGAGCAAUAAAUAUCUAUUAAA